rnacentral:rRNA from 1 species
GUGAGGAAUUUUCCGCAAUGGGCGAAAGCCUGACGGAGCAAUGCCGCGUGCAGGAAGAAGGCCUUCGGGUUGUAAACUGCUUUUGUACGGAACGAAACGGUCCUGGUUAAUACCUGGGGCUAAUGACGGUACCGUAAGAAUAAGCACCGGCUAACUACGUGCCAGCAGCCGCGGUAAUACGUAGGGUGCGAGCGUUAAUCGGAAUUACUGGGCGUAAAGCGUGCGCAGGCGGUGCUGUAAGACAGGCGUGAAAUCCCCGGGCUCAACCUGGGAAUUGCGCUUGUGACUGCAGUGCUGGAGUACGGCAGAGGGGGAUGGAAUUCCGCGUGUAGCAGUGAAAUGCGUAGAUAUGCGGAGGAACACCGAUGGCGAAGGCAGUCCCCUGGGCCUGUACUGACGCUCAUGCACGAAAGCGUGGGGAGCAAACAGGAUUAGAAACCCCUGUAGUCC